GCUCUGAUCCCAUAGAAAGAGGGGCCUUGUGAUGCCUUGGACUUCAGGACGAUUAGCCUCAUGUAUAGCAUCGCGAAGAUCCUCUGCAAGCUGCUUGCGAAUAGACUAGCCCCUAAGCUUCAACACUUAGUCUCUCACAGCCAAAGUGCUUUCAUUAAGAAGCGAUGCGUACAUGAUAAUUUUAUCUAUGUUCAGAAUGUCAUAAGAGAAGCCCAUGCUAAAAAAUGCCAAGCAUCUUUUUGA
rnacentral:rRNA from 1 species